UAUUAUAUGUAUAGUUGGGAUUUUUUUCCAAUAUGCAUUAUUUUGUACUUAUCAACACUGAAUUUUAACCAUCUUUUUGUUG